rnacentral:rRNA from 1 species
CUCGUAGUUGGACCUGUGUUCCACGCUGUCGGUUCGCCGCCCGUCGGUGUUAACUGGCAUGUCCUGUGGAACGUCCUGCCGGUGGCGGUCCGGGCUUUCGGCUUGCGUAAAGGCUCACGCCCGAAGCAGGUCGAUCAGUUUCGGCCGCCGGUCCAAUCCCGCCACGGUGCUCUUCACCGAGUGUCGAGGUGGGCCGGCACGUUUACUUUGAACAAAUUAGAGUGCUUAAAGCAGGCUGGUGUCCGCCUGAAUACUGUGUGCAUGGAAUAAUGGAAUAGGACCUCGGUUCUAUUUUGUUGGUUUUAGGAACCCGAGGUAAUGAUUAAUAGGGACAGGCGGGGGCAUUCGUAUUGCGACGUUAGAGGUGAAAUUCUUGGAUCGUCGCAAGACGAACCUAAGCGAAAGCAUUUGCCAAGUAUGUUCUCGUUAAUCAAGAACGAAAGUUAGAGGUUCGAAGGCGAUCAGAUACCGCCCUAGUUCUAACCAUAAACGAUGCCAGCCAGCGAUCCGCCGAAGUUCCUCCGAUGACUCGGCGGGCAGCUUCCGGGAAACCAAAGCUUUUGGGUUCCGGGGGAAGUAUGGUUGCAAAGCUGAAACUUAAAGGAAUUGACGGAAGGGCACCACCAGGAGUGGAGCCUGCGGCUUAAUUUGACUCAACACGGGAAACCUCACCAGGCCCGGACACCGGAAGGAUUGACAGAUUGAGAGCUCUUUCUUGAUUCGGUGGGUGGUGGUGCAUGGCCGUUCUUAGUUGGUGGAGCGAUUUGUCUGGUUAAUUCCGAUAACGAACGAGACUCUAGCCUGCUAACUAGGCGUUUUCCGGUACCCACAAUAGUGUUACCGGCGAUUCAAUUUCUUCUUAGAGGGACAGGCGGCUCCUAGCCGCACGAGACUGAGCAAUAACAGGUCUGUGAUGCCCUUAGAUGUCCUGGGCCGCACGCGCGCUACACUGAAGGAAUCAGCGUGUCUUCCCUGGCCGACAGGCCCGGGUAACCCGUUGAACCUCCUUCGUGCUAGGGAUUGGGGCUUGCAAUUGUUCCCCAUGAACGAGGAAUUCCCAGUAAGCGCGAGUCAUAAGCUCGCGUUGAUUACGUCCCUGCCCUUUGUACACACCGCCCGUCGCUACUACCGAUUGAAUGAUUUAGUGAGGUCUUCGGACUGGUGCGCGGCGAUCGGUUAACGCCGGCCGCCGAUGUUGCUGGAAAGAUGACCAAACUUGAUCAUUUAGAGGAAGUAAAAGUCGUAACAAGGUUU